rnacentral:rRNA from 1 species
AUCGUGUCUUGACUAAUUACGUGCCAGCAGUCGCGGUAAUACGUAAGAGACUAGUGUUAUUCAUCUUAAUUAGGUUUAAAGGGUACCUAGACGGUCAAUAUAGCUUCUAGAAUGUUAGUACUUGACUAGAGUUUUAUGUAAGAGGGUAGUACUUGAGGAGGAGAGAUGAAAUUCUAUGAUACCAAAGGGACUCGGUAAAGGCGAAGGCAACCCUCUAUGUAAAAACUGACGUCGAAGGACGAAGGCACAGAGAACAAACAGGAUUAGAUACCCAAGUAGUCUUUGCAGUAAAUGAUGAAUGCCAUAGGUCAGAUUAAGAUUUAAUAACUUAGUUCGAGGGUGCUGCGCAAGCUAAAGCACCCUACAGUAAAAAACUAAAUAUUAAACAUUAUUUGGUCUAUAAAUGAAAGUGUAAGCAUUUCACCUCAAGAGUAAUGUGGCAACGCAGGAACUGAAAUCACUAGACCGUUUCUGACACCAGUAGUGAAGUAUGUUGUUUAAUUCGAUGAUCCACGAAAAACCUUACCACAAUUUGUAUAAUUAUUACAGGAGUUGCACGGC